GACGAACGCUGGCGGCGUGCUUAACACAUGCAAGUCGAACGGAAAGGCCCUGCUUUUGUGGGGUGCUCGAGUGGCGAACGGGUGAGUAACACGUGAGUAACCUGCCCUUGACUUUGGGAUAACUUCAGGAAACUGGGGCUAAUACCGGAUAGGAGCUCCUGCUGCAUGGUGGGGGUUGGAAAGUUUCGGCGGUUGGGGAUGGACUCGCGGCUUAUCAGCUUGUUGGUGGGGUAGUGGCUUACCAAGGCUUUGACGGGUAGCCGGCCUGAGAGGGUGACCGGCCACAUUGGGACUGAGAUACGGCCCAGACUCCUACGGGAGGCAGCAGUGGGGAUUAUUGCACAAUGGGCGGAAGCCUGAUGCAGCAACGCCGCGUGCGGGAGGACGGCCUUCGGGUUGUAAACCGCUUUCGCCUGUGACGAAGCGUGAGUGACGGUAAUGGGUAAAGAAGCACCGGCUAACUACGU
rnacentral:rRNA from 1 species